rnacentral:rRNA from 1 species
CCUACGAGGAGCUGCAGUGGGGAAUAUUGCACAAUGGGGGAAACCCUGAUGCAGCGACGCCGCGUGAGUGAAGAAGUAUCUCGGUACGUAAAGCUCUAUCAGCAGGGAAGAAAAUGACGGUACCUGACUAAGAAGCCCCGGCUAACUACGUGCCAGCAGCCGCGGUAAUACGUAGGGGGCAAGCGUUAUCCGGAUUUACUGGGUGUAAAGGGAGCGUAGACGGCAGCACAAGUCUGGAGUGAAAUCCCGGGGCUUAACCCCGGAACUGCUUUGGAAACUGGGCGGCUGGAGUGCAGGAGGGGUAGGCGGAAUUCGUGGUGUAGAGGUGAAAUGCGUAGAUAUUAGGAAGAACACCGGUGGCGAAGGCGGCUUACUGGACUGUAACUGACGUUGAGGCUCGAAAGCGUGGGGAGCAAACAGGAUUAGAUACCCGUGUAGUC